rnacentral:rRNA from 1 species
AUGCCGUCGUCUCAGGUUCCCAAGAUUUCAUCUCUGCACGAUGAGUUGAGAGAUGGCCGUGGUGUUGAGGGUGCUGCGUUGGAGCACGCUGAGCAUAUUUUUAGUAAUGUGUGUUCUGAGCUGCAAAAGGUCCCAACGACAGUUGAGCGUCUGAGCUGUAUCAAUGGUAUCCUUCCUGAAGGUCAUCAAUUUAACGCUGAGGAAGCAGCAGACUAUAUUGAGAUGGAGAUAAUUUUAAUUGGUGAUAUGCGUGACGGUGCUGCUGAUCUAGUUCAGAGCUCGGUUCGUCUGUUGACCAACAUGAAGCGUUUCAAAACUAUGCAAGACUCUCGCUGCAAGCCAUAUGAAGAAAGUGCAAAUGUUGUUAUCAGGCCGAUUGAGCAGGAUGAGGCUGUUGCCACCGACAACAGGGCUGGUGAUGGUACCGAGGCUAAUGUUUCUGAUCACAAUACGAAUGAUGUUGGCUGGGAGUGCCAUGUUGGUGAUAUUGAGCAGGAUGAGGCUGCUGCCACCAACAGCAGGGCUGAUGAUGUUACUGAGGCUAAUGUUUCUGAUCACCAUACGAAUGAUGUUGGCUUGGAGCGCCCUGUUGUUGAUGAGACCAGUCAUAAUGUUGAGGCUGCUGUUGACCGUGGAGUUAAUGGUCCAUCUACUGAUAAGUGCAAGGGUCCUGUUGUUGGCGACGAGAAUUGUUCGACCGUUGGUGAUGUUCCUUUGAAUGUUAGCAUCAGCAAGAUCGAUGAUGUUGUUGUGAAUGCUGCUAAGAUGACUGAUGUUGAGCGUGAGGCUGUCGUUAGUGGUGGAGAUGAUGCUCAUGGUGUUCCAUUGAGUAGUGCGCGCGAUGUUGGUACCAAAGUUGCUGACGAGGAUGUUGGUGCUGCGAGCAUACUUGAUGCCAAAUCGUCUGGUGUUGGUAUUGCUGGGAAUGAAAGUGUUUCUGAUUGUGAAGAUUUGCCGCCGGAGAAUUUCCCGCCUGGAGGUCUUGAUUACGGUGAUGCAUUGGAAGAUGCAUCUAGCAUGGAGGAGGUGCCAUCCGAGGAUGAUGAUUUACUUCUGUCAAUUUCUUCUGGCCCCUUGACACAGGAGGCGCUUGUGUCGUCCCAGGAUUUUCUUUCUUCAGACCCUGAAAGUGCAGCGAUAUUGGUGUCCUCACAAGAUCUCCCAUCGUCAAACCCUGAAACUGGAGGCAUAUUGGUGUCAUCACAGGAACUCCCGUCGUCAAACGCUGAUAGUGUAGAAGGUGCUAAUGUUGUUAAGGUUGAUUUGUUUUAUUUCGCUGUUACGAGGUUGCGCACGAACCGUUCAAAAUGUGACAAGCCGAUGUUUCAAAAUAAAGAAUGUGAUGCCAGUGUUGGUUCUAUUGCUAAAGCGUUUGUCCCGACUGGCAUGCUCAACUCAGACAGUGCUGACGUUGUUUUAUAUUCUCUACGUCAGAAGUACCGAGACACUGACAAGUUGAUAGUUCCCAGAUGGGUGACGAUCCGUGAUGAAAAUAUUGAUUCCAAUGUGCUAAAUUGGUUCACGAGAUCAGGGGCUGAUGGUUUUGACCAAGUGGGAGAAUGA